UACGGAGGGUGCAAGCGUUAUCCGGAUUCACUGGGUUUAAAGGGGGCGUAGGCGGGUUGGUAAGUCCGUGGUGAAAUCCCCAAGCUUAACUUGGGAACUGCCGUGGAUACUAUCAAUCUUGAAUAUCGUGGAGGUAAGCGGAAUAUGUCAUGUAGCGGUGAAAUGCUUAGAUAUGACAUAGAACACCAAUUGCGUAGGCAGCUUACUACAGGGACAUUGACACUGAGGCACGAAAGCGUGGGGAUCAAACAGG
rnacentral:rRNA from 1 species